rnacentral:RNase_P_RNA from 1 species
GAGGAAAGUCCGGACUCCUUAUAGAAUAUAGUUGCUGAAUAAGUCUCAGUGUAAGUAAUUACGAGGAAAGUGCCACAGAAAUAAACCGCUUGGUAAAAAAUAUCUAAGUAAGGGUGCAAAGGUAUGGUAAAAGCAUACCAGGAAUAUUGUAAUAAUAUUUGCUAGGUAAACCCCACAAUGGAGCAAAGUUAUACAUUAUAAUCUAUACUCUAUCUAUUAUGUGUCUAAAUACUGCAUUAAGUUUUGAUAACUACAGAUCAAUAACCAUCCUUUUAUGAUUUGCUCUAAAAAGAACAAAAUCCGGCUUAU